rnacentral:miRNA from 1 species
UCACCCUGCAUCCCGCACCCAG